UUCCCGCUCCUCCUUCCCUCCCAAUAUUUGGAUCUGCAACCACACAUUCCUUCUCCCAAAUUCCAAUUAGUCUUCUUCUCUCUGGUUGAUCCAUUUCCCCACUUCUCGUUUCCCACCUAAUUUGUUACUUCUCAUUUCCCUAAUAACAGUGAACUGCGGUUGUGUGGUCGUUGUUACAAAAAUAGAGAGGGUGAACGAUGAACGACAGGGACGGCGAAACGAGGGAAGAUUGGAAGUGACCGUUGAAGAACGUACGAAUCGUUGUUGCGUUCCGCAAUGGAUUUUACAGUCAGCGCUCUAACUUUGCCAUUUAUGGACAGUUAAUUCUUUUUAAGCUUUCUAUUUUUUAAUCCAGAAACUUGUUUGUUUUGGAAACUUGGAGUAUGAUAUUUAUAUUAAAAAUGAAGGAUAAAAAUGAAGGAUACCGAGGCAGUGACGAACAGUACAAGUAAGUUAUUGACAAACUUGCUUCUUUCAAGUAAGCAAUUCGUGGUCUACAUGGUUCAUCCAUGAUGGCCCAAUGUAUCCAAGGCUGAAUUAAAUUGCCAUCUCUAUACUCAUGUUCAGAACUCAGUUUGGUGGUGGUAAAUCAACCGGGUGGGAUUGAUCUAUGAUUCCGUUGAAAAUGUAAAUAAUCAUAAACCAAAAUACAGGCUUUGUCUGAAUUGUUUGGACACCAAAGUUGAGAAGUCAAAAACGCAAUUGAAGGAAAGAAAGAACAUGGCAAAGAUGAUCAGAGGUGUAAAGAAGAAAUAUGGUGAUUGGAGGAAGUUAACAGGGCUCUCACUUGAUAGCCAAUAGUGUAUUUAAAAUGGCGGGAUUCACACUUUUCGACCUAUAUUGUAAGAAGAACCUAAUCCUCAAUCGGCAAGAUCAGAGAUGAAAUGUAAUUGUCAGAGUCAAGAAGGUUGGAACCAUCAAAGAAGUCUAAGAUCAGAAAUGAAAAGAUUUUUGGAUUACAUCGGAAGCUGGAUCGUCUCAACCACCUUCAAGCGAGACCGAAGCACUUCGAAAUCAGGUUGCUUCACUAGAAGAGGAAUUGAAACAAAGCAAUGGAAAAUAUGAAAAAUUGUCAAUGUUCACGCCCUCAAAGUUUUUGGAUUUUGAGAGCUUAUUAUCCACACGUAUUAUCAGUAGUGAAGCAAAUGAUUUGGAUGAGCAACUCAAUGACCAUAACAGUUUGAUCUAGGAGGUGAGAUAGUUCAAACUUAUUUUGUUAAUGCUGUAUUGAUUAAUGUUUUGAAGUUUAGAACAAAUCUACCAAGUAUUAUUUAUUUAUAUGUUUGAUUCUAUACUUUUUAUAGUUUAGAAAUAACAUCCUAUAAUGUUAUGGGUUA